rnacentral:sRNA from 1 species
UGGAAAUACUUUAACCUCGCCGGGUAAC